UACGUAGGGGGCAAGCGUUGUCCGGAUUUAUUGGGCGUAAAGCGCUCGCAGGUGGUUCGGUUGCGUCGUGCGUGAAAGACCCCGGCUCAACUGGGGGAUGUCGUGCGAUACGGGCGGACUGGAGGCCAGUAGGGGGAUGCGGGAAUUCCGGGUGUAGUGGUGGAAUGCGUAGAGAUCCGGAGGACACCAGCGGCGAAGGCGGCAUCCUGGACCAGUACCGACGUCAGGCACGAAAGCGUGGGGAGCAAACAGG
rnacentral:rRNA from 1 species